UAAGCGACUAAGCGUACACGGUGGAUGCCCUGGCAGUCAGAGGCGAUGAAGGACGUGCUAAUCUGCGAUAAGCGUCGGUAAGGUGAUAUGAACCGUUAUAACCGGCGAUUUCCGAAUGGGGAAACCCAGUGUGAUUCGUCACACUAUCAUUAACUGAAUCCAUAGGUUAAUGAGGCGAACCGGGGGAACUGAAACAUCUAAGUACCCCGAGGAAAAGAAAUCAACCGAGAUUCCCCCAGUAGCGGCGAGCGAACGGGGAGCAGCCCAGAGCCUGAAUCAGUGUGUGUGUUAGUGGAAGCGUCUGGAAAGGCGUGCGAUACAGGGUGACAGCCCCGUACACAAAAAUGCACAUAUUGUGAGCUCGAUGAGUAGGGCGGGACACGUGGUAUCCUGUCUGAAUAUGGGGGGACCAUCCUCCAAGGCUAAAUACUCCUGACUGACCGAUAGUGAACCAGUACCGUGAGGGAAAGGCGAAAAGAACCCCGGCGAGGGGAGUGAAAAAGAACCUGAAACCGUGUACGUACAAGCAGUGGGAGCACGCUUAGGCGUGUGACUGCGUACCUUUUGUAUAAUGGGUCAGCGACUUAUAUUCUGUAGCAAGGUUAACCGAAUAGGGGAGCCGAAGGGAAACCGAGUCUUAACUGGGCGUUAAGUUGCAGGGUAUAGACCCGAAACCCGGUGAUCUAGCCAUGGGCAGGUUGAAGGUUGGGUAACACUAACUGGAGGACCGAACCGACUAAUGUUGAAAAAUUAGCGGAUGACUUGUGGCUGGGGGUGAAAGGCCAAUCAAACCGGGAGAUAGCUGGUUCUCCCCGAAAGCUAUUUAGGUAGCGCCUCGUGAAUUCAUCUCCGGGGGUAGAGCACUGUUUCGGCAAGGGGGUCAUCCCGACUUACCAACCCGAUGCAAACUGCGAAUACCGGAGAAUGUUAUCACGGGAGACACACGGCGGGUGCUAACGUCCGUCGUGAAGAGGGAAACAACCCAGACCGCCAGCUAAGGUCCCAAAGUCAUGGUUAAGUGGGAAACGAUGUGGGAAGGCCCAGACAGCCAGGAUGUUGGCUUAGAAGCAGCCAUCAUUUAAAGAAAGCGUAAUAGCUCACUGGUCGAGUCGGCCUGCGCGGAAGAUGUAACGGGGCUAAACCAUGCACCGAAGCUGCGGCAGCGACACUAUGUGUUGUUGGGUAGGGGAGCGUUCUGUAAGCCUGUGAAGGUGUACUGUGAGGUAUGCUGGAGGUAUCAGAAGUGCGAAUGCUGACAUAAGUAACGAUAAAGCGGGUGAAAAGCCCGCUCGCCGGAAGACCAAGGGUUCCUGUCCAACGUUAAUCGGGGCAGGGUGAGUCGACUCCUAAGGCGAGGCCGAAAGGCGUAGUCGAUGGGAAACAGGUUAAUAUUCCUGUACUUGGUGUUACUGCGAAGGGGGGACGGAGAAGGCUAUGUUGGCCGGGCGACGGUUGUCCCGGUUUAAGCGUGUAGGCUGGUUUUCCAGGCAAAUCCGGAAAACUAAGGCUGAGGCGUGAUGACGAGGCACUACGGUGCUGAAGCAACAAAUGCCCUGCUUCCAGGAAAAGCCUCUAAGCAUCAGGUAACAUCAAAUCGUACCCCAAACCGACACAGGUGGUCAGGUAGAGAAUACCAAGGCGCUUGAGAGAACUCGGGUGAAGGAACUAGGCAAAAUGGUGCCGUAACUUCGGGAGAAGGCACGCUGAUAUGUAGGUGAAGUCCCUCGCGGAUGGAGCUGAAAUCAGUCGAAGAUACCAGCUGGCUGCAACUGUUUAUUAAAAACACAGCACUGUGCAAACACGAAAGUGGACGUAUACGGUGUGACGCCUGCCCGGUGCCGGAAGGUUAAUUGAUGGGGUCAGCGCAAGCGAAGCUCUUGAUCGAAGCCCCGGUAAACGGCGGCCGUAACUAUAACGGUCCUAAGGUAGCGAAAUUCCUUGUCGGGUAAGUUCCGACCUGCACGAAUGGCGUAAUGAUGGCCAGGCUGUCUCCACCCGAGACUCAGUGAAAUUGAACUCGCUGUGAAGAUGCAGUGUACCCGCGGCAAGACGGAAAGACCCCGUGAACCUUUACUAUAGCUUGACACUGAACAUUGAGCCUUGAUGUGUAGGAUAGGUGGGAGGCUUUGAAGUGUGGACGCCAGUCUGCAUGGAGCCGACCUUGAAAUACCACCCUUUAAUGUUUGAUGUUCUAACGUUGACCCGUAAUCCGGGUUGCGGACAGUGUCUGGUGGGUAGUUUGACUGGGGCGGUCUCCUCCUAAAGAGUAACGGAGGAGCACGAAGGUUGGCUAAUCCUGGUCGGACAUCAGGAGGUUAGUGCAAUGGCAUAAGCCAGCUUGACUGCGAGCGUGACGGCGCGAGCAGGUGCGAAAGCAGGUCAUAGUGAUCCGGUGGUUCUGAAUGGAAGGGCCAUCGCUCAACGGAUAAAAGGUACUCCGGGGAUAACAGGCUGAUACCGCCCAAGAGUUCAUAUCGACGGCGGUGUUUGGCACCUCGAUGUCGGCUCAUCACAUCCUGGGGCUGAAGUAGGUCCCAAGGGUAUGGCUGUUCGCCAUUUAAAGUGGUACGCGAGCUGGGUUUAGAACGUCGUGAGACAGUUCGGUCCCUAUCUGCCGUGGGCGCUGGAGAACUGAGGGGGGCUGCUCCUAGUACGAGAGGACCGGAGUGGACGCAUCACUGGUGUUCGGGUUGUCAUGCCAAUGGCACUGCCCGGUAGCUAAAUGCGGAAGAGAUAAGUGCUGAAAGCAUCUAAGCACGAAACUUGCCCCGAGAUGAGUUCUCCCUGACUCCUUGAGAGUCCUGAAGGAACGUUGAAGACGACGACGUUGAUAGGCCGGGUGUGUAAGCGCAGCGAUGCGUUGAGCUAACCGGUACUAAUGAACCGUGAGGCUUAACCU
rnacentral:rRNA from 1 species